AUGCGGCCCUCGACCCAAACACCUCGACCCAAUCCGUCCUCUCCCCGACCACCGCGCCUCACCACCGUCCCGCCUCGCCGCGCUGUCCACCAGCCACCGCUUUCCCUCCGGCCUCUAUCGCUCCGCCGCCUGCUGCUACGCCGUCGAACCCCCGCCCCACGAUCCUCCAAGCCCCACUCGUCUCCCCUGGCCUCUGCCGCUGCUGUUCCUGACGUCCCCUGCGGCGGUGACAUGACUAGGUCCCACGGCGAGGGCAGGGAGGAGGACCGGCCCGUGGCUUGCGAGACGGGGCCGCGGAAGAAGGCAAGGAAGGGGAAGCGGGGGAGCGCCAAGGCUCGGCCGCCUCCACCUGCCCCGUCCCAGGAGCACCGCGCCACCACCAGCGACGACGACGGGUCGGCUCAGGUCAGGGCUAUGGUGGCCGAGCAGAUGCGGGAUAUCCUUGCCGUCGACGCCGCUAAGAAGAAGAAAGUUGCCGAGCUACUUAAAGGCCUCUCUGGGGAACGUGACCUUUCUGUGGAGGAUACGUUUGGUGACUCCAAUGAUGGCAGCCUUGAGAGUCUUCAGGCUCGUAAAGUUGCAUUGUUGGUCUCAAAGUCAGUCGUCAGCCUGUCUUCUUUUGCAGGUGGAAAGAGGAUCCGUGUAUGUUCGGGAUUUGUGAUGCAUGGAACAGACAAUACUGGUGCAAAUAUGAUUUUAACCUCAGCAACACUUGUUAGAUCUCUGAAUGGAGACAGUAAUGUGAUAUCUGAUGUGACGGUCAAGGUUCUUCUACCUGAUGGGCAUAUAACAGAUGGCCACAUCUUUCUUGUGGAUUUUCACUAUAAUGUAGCUGUCGUCAAAAUUGCAGCUUAUUUAGCGCUCUUAGAAGAAGGCACUACCAACAAUGGCGCCGUGUUAGCACUUGGACGUGCAUAUGAAGGUGGUCUUCUCAUGUGUUCACGGGGUCAAGUUGUAAACAAAAAAAGCAAAUUUGGGUGCGCGGAGCUAUUGGUGUCAAGCUGCAAGGUUUCCAUGGCUGGUUCUGGAGGACCUCUUGUCAAUUACAACGGUCAAGUUCUUGGUAUCAACUUCUACGAAAAGAAUCAAACAUCAUACCUUCCCAUGUUAAUUGUAUCAAGGAUCCUGGAACAACAUCACUGCUUCGGGAAAUUAAUUAGCCCCUGGCUUGGAUUAAGGUACAGUUCUCUUCAUAUGGUUCCACUGGCCGUCUUGGAGCCUAUCUAUCAAAAAUUCCCAGAUGUUGACCAGGGUUUAUAUGUUUCAAAGGUUGUUGAGGGAUCACCUGCUGAUGUUGCUGGGUUACGUGUCGGUGAUGUUCUUGUAAAAUGUGGUGACAAACUUCUCUCUAGUGUCCCAGAGUUUGGUGCAAUGUUACUGGAUGAUGCAAAAGCUCAUUCUGAAGCCUUUGGAGGUUGGGCUGGGGACAUGACAAUUGAGGUUGUGAUAAAGCGACAAAGAGAUGGCAGCACGGUGUCAAAAACUAUAGCCGCAGAGAUGCUGAGAGAGAACAACUAUAACAGAUGGCCUGCACCUAUGCCAAGCUACACAAUUCGCCUAAUAAAUGUCACGCCGCGUUGA
rnacentral:rRNA from 1 species